CCCUGGGCCCUCUGGAUGGACCCUAGCCUCGCUCCGUGGCCCCAGGAGCCAAAGCCGAAUCGGCCCUGUGCAACAUCUAGAAAGCAUGGGUGGGGGGAGCUCCCAUCAGCGCUCAUCCCAGAGCCCCCCAGACCAGCCAGGGCCCCCCUCUCCACACCUCCCUCUGUUUUCCUCCUGGCCCCACGUCACUGUGCGAACACCCAACUUUUCUUCGGAGACGGCACCAGGCUCACGGUUGUAGAUGACCUGAAGAAGGUGCAGCCACCCAGGGUCACCGUGUUCGAACCAUCGGAAGCAGAGAUUGCCCGCACCCAGAAGGCCACGCUCGUGUGCCUGGCCACAGGCUUCUACCCCGACCACGUGGAGCUGAGCUGGUGGGUGAAUGGCAAGGAGGUACUGAGUGGGGUCAGCACCGACCCCCAGCCCUACAAGGAGCACCCCAACCGCAAUGACUCCAACUACUGCCUGAGCAGCCGGCUGAGGGUCUCCGCCGACUUCUGGAGCAACCCCCGCAACUACUUCAGCUGCCAAGUCCAGUUCUACGGGCUGGGAAAGAACGACACUUGGAAGGAGGAGGACGGUCCCAAGCCCACCACCCAGAACGUCAGCGCCGGGGCCUGGGGCAGAGCAGAGUGUGGUGUCACCUCAGCGUCCUAUAAGCAAGGGGUCCUGUCUGCCACCCUCAUGUAUGAGAUCCUGCUGGGGAAGGCCACCGUGUACGCAGUGCUGGUCAGCGCUCUGGUGCUGAUGGCCAUGGUCAAGAGAAAGGAUUCCUGAUGCCAGCUCAGAGGCGGAGCCACGAACUCCCAGCCUGCUACCACCCCAGUGUGGAUUCGCCUUUUCCCAUUCCCAGCCAGUGCUUCUGAAGAGCCGUUCUCAUCUCUCAGCUCAUCCCCAUGUACCUGCACAGCAGAGCGCUCAUGACCACAAUCUCCCUGACCCCAGGGGCACCCCGGGGGGCCUGAAUGGACUGAACCAAUAAAAAUGGCCUGUUUUCGCUUGA